rnacentral:rRNA from 1 species
UACGUCGGGCCCGCGCUUUUUCCUUCUUCCUUUUUCUUCCCUCUCUCUUAUUCUUCUUUUCAAUUCUAACGUGAAAACUCGGGGCUCAACUCCGAGCCUGCGUUCGAUACUGGAUGGCUAGAGUCUGGUAGGGGGAUCUGGAAUUCCUGGUGUAGCGGUGGAAUGCGCAGAUAUCAGGAGGAACACCGGUGGCGAAGGCGGGAUCCUGGGCCAGUACUGACGCUGAGGAGCGAAAGCGUGGGGAGCAAACAGG